CACCCACCACAAUGAGUUUUAAAAGCAACUUUUAGGACUACUACAAGGAAUAAAAUUCAGAGUCCUUAAGUAUUAGGUGUUCUAAAAAAGAAAAAAAAAAGGAAGAUGUCUCAUUUUCCACUCUGUCUCCUUUGGAGGGGACUAGAACCUGUGGUUUGAAGUACCACCCAUAACUGCAAGAAAAAUCAAAUUAAGUGAAAGAAUUGUUCAGUUUUGACAGUCAUCAUCAUCAUUCCCCAACUGUGGAAGAAAAAGCUUUUCCAGAAACAAAUUUGCUCUUCUCCUUUCCCAUUCUUGUUUUCGAUUUUUGAGUGGGAGCCUUAACUCCUUAGGGCCACAUAUGAGAUCCUUUAUAAUUUAGCCCCAGUGGAUUUCUGUCCUGUCUCCCACCACUUCAUUCCAUGACUUGGAACUAGUAUUUCUGUGACUCUUUGUCUUUGUCCACAGUACUCUUCCCUCCUUCACUGCUUGGUAAAGUCUUGCUUAUCCUUCUAAGCCUAGCUGAAAUUUUACAUCCUCAGAAGCCUCUCUCAACCCUCCACCACACAGUUGUCCCCUCCAAUAGUUGCCACUUACUCAGUGUGUUGUACAAACAUUAUAUUUCUGAAUAUAUUAUAGUUAAUGUCUGGAGUCAUGUUUCGUUAACAUUGGAGUGGGUGGUGUUGGUGGUAGCCCUGGCAUUUGGGGGUUGAUAUUAGGGAUGCUAGUAAACAUUACAAUACACAGAACAGCCCACCACACUCACUCCCAAGAAUUAUCUAGGUCCCAAUGCCAGUACUGCAGAAGUUGAGAACCCUGAUCUAAACUGAGAUGCCUUGGUUCAACAUCAUAUUCAUCUUUGAAAAUUCCCAGGACCCCUCAAAUGGUAGAUUCUUAGCAAACGUCAAAUAUACAAAUGAGAGGGGAUAAAUGAAUGGGAGCAAAGGAGAUUACAUCUUGUUGGGAAAUACCAUUAUUUAACACAGGUCCUCUGCUACUUCUACAUUAUCCCAAAGGGAGCAAACUGCCCAUCCAACCCUUUUCAUUUUUCUUCAGAUACCCUUUAGGGGUGGCAACAUGGAGGAACGACAGUGCUCUGGAACAGGGAAGCUAUGUAACAAUAAUGAUUAUGAUAGCUAACACUGAGUGCUUAUGUAAUCCUUUCCAAGGGUAGCUCCCAAUGACUUGAGGACCUCUCAUGGGCGACAUCUCUUAAAAAUCCUACCCACUCCCCAACAUCACCACACUGGGGACCAAGGUCUUGAUACAUGACAAACUAUAUCUGAAUCAAAGCACUGGUGGAUCCCAGACACUGUGUAACUGUUUUUCCCAGUUGGAAUGUCUGGAACUGAAGUCAUCAUUCUUCCUCCCAUCAGAGACCACAAAGGAAUAAACUUCAUUGCGGAAGAAAAUGAAGGAAGAUAUUAUUUACUAUGCAAGGUUUUGAGGAUUGGUGAUGGUAUAUGUCAAGCCCUAGCACAGUGCCAACACAUGGCUUGUUUCUGGUGCUGGCGACAUCAAACUCACCAAAGAUGCCAAUGUGCUGCUCCAUGAGAUGCAAAUUCAACACCCAGCAGCUUCCUUGAUAGCAAAAGUAGCAACUGCCCAGGAUGACAUUACAGGAGAUGGUACUACUGCAAAUGUUCUAAUUAUUGGAGAGUUACUAAAACAAGCUGAUCUUUACAUUUCUGAGGCUGUGGUGGAUUCUGUUUUGGCUGUUAGAAGAUCAGGUUAUCCUAUUGAUCUCCUCAUGGUGGAAAUCAUAGAGAUGAAGCAGAAAUCAGAAACAGAUACAAAGAAAAACACAAUCCAGGCUUGAAGCCUUUGGUAGUUCCAUCUGAUUCUUAGAACUUAGGAUACAUAGAAUGAAUGGAUUACUCUUUAUAAAAAAUAUCACUUCAGAGAAGGUGAGCCAGUCCCAGCACCCGGAAGGAAGCUCCCCGCCACUAUCCCAAGCUCCUAGGGCAGAGAAGCUGAGCUGGUCCCAGCAC